CCUACGGGAGGCAGCAGUGGGGAAUAUUGGACAAUGGGCGAAAGCCUGAUCCAGCAAUGCCGCGUGAGUGAUGAAGGCCUUAGGGUUGUAAAGCUCUUUUACCAGGGAUGAUAAUGACAGUACCUGGAGAAUAAGCUCCGGCUAACUCCGUGCCAGCAGCCGCGGUAAUACGGAGGGAGCUAGCGUUGUUCGGAAUUACUGGGCGUAAAGCGUACGUAGGCGGUUAUUCAAGUCAGAGGUGAAAGCCCGGGGCUCAACCCCGGAACUGCCUUUGAAACUAGAUAGCUAGAAUCUUGGAGAGGUUAGUGGAAUUCCGAGUGUAGAGGUGAAAUUCGUAGAUAUUCGGAAGAACACCAGUGGCGAAGGCGACUAACUGGACAAGUAUUGACGCUGAGGUACGAAAGCGUGGGGAGCAAACAGGAUUAGAUACCCUGGUAGUCCACGCCGUAAACGAUGAUAACUAGCUGUUCGGGCACUUGGUGCCUGAGUGGCGCAGCUACGACAUUAAGUUAUCCGUCCGUCGGGUAGGUACGGUCGCGAAGAAUUAAACUAACAAAGGAAAGUUAGUACGGCGUGAGACGUGCCGAACGGACGACGACGAGGGAGGUAGG
rnacentral:rRNA from 1 species